rnacentral:lncRNA from 1 species
CAAGCUUAAAAUGAAGGAAUAGCUGUGAUGUGUCAUGAUUUGGUCAAGCUCUUGUAGUCUGAAACUUGUCCUUUUUCUACUACAAGUAAUUUCCUUCCUAAAACCAUGACCAAUCAUCUGGAAUCUGAACCGUCUCCACUGCAGGAAACACAUUGAAACAUUAUAUCUUUUUUUUUAAAUAUACCAUUGAAAAUAUUCUAUGGCCAUGCUGAUUUGUUUUCAGAACACCUUCCUUUAGCACCUAUACUGUUUUAAUUUCAAUAAACUGUGUAAUUUGACAAAUAAAUUUCACUUGAUUAUGUUUCAAGGUAGCUGCUUUUGGGUAGCUUAUAGGGAAUGCCUCCCUAAUGCUAAUAUCUAAUCUCAAAUGUAAACUUUUUAAAUCACAUUUAGGAUAAAUUACUUCUGGAUUUUUUUUUUUAAUGUACUACAAAUUUGUAUUUGUAAAUUCUCAGUGGUUUCUGUAAGACAGAAUCCUAUUUCCUGAUCUUGUUCUUAGAUUUGAUGAUUGUUGUGUACUUUUGAAUACUAAGACUUGUAGCUGGUCUAGAGAUUUGUUGAAAUUAAUGAACACAUAACAGAUGUUCAUGGGUGUGAGUUACUCUUCCACUAAUUAGUAGCCUUUCCUUGGAGUCAUGCCUAACAGCUAAAUAUCAGUAGACCAUAACCUUAGUCACGUUUUAAAUAACAUACCACGAGCUUUUAAAAAUAAUAAUGUAAUUUGUUUCUCAUUCUUUUUGGGGGCCACCCAUUAUUGAAGGAGGAUAAGAUAAUUUUCUCUUCUGUUCUUCCUUUUUAAGCCAGGCAGCUUUUUUCAAUCUGAUGUAAUUCUGAGAGAGAAUUCUUUGCUUUCAAAAGCUUAGGAGCUCAUAAGAAAUUUUCUCAAUGUGUGCUUGCUUUUAAAAUAUUUUUUCUGGGGCAGCCUGGGUGGCUCAGCGGUUUAGUGCCACCUUCAGCCCAGGGCAUGAUCCUGGAGUCCCGGGAUCGAGUCCCACGUCCGGCUCCCUGUUGCAUGGAGCCUGCUUCUCCCCCUGCCUAUGUCUCUGCCUCUCUCUCUCUUUCUGUAUCUCUAUGAAUAAAUAAAUAAAAUCUUUAAAAAAAAUAAAAAUAAACCUAAUAAUUUUAAUAAAGUUCCAAGAUUAAUAGUUUAUUUUAAGAUUGGAUAGGUGAAUAUGAUGCCUACCUCUUAUCAAGUUGACCCAAAUCUAAGUACAUAAUUAAUAAAGCCUGUUUGCUUACCACUUCCAUGAUUUCUUUUUUUUCCCAUGAUUUCUUUAAAAAAUAUUUCAUAAUUUUAGGAUUUUUUCACGAAAUAUUAUUUUUACUUAAAAUAUUUAGUAGUUGAAGUUCCUUUUGUUCAGUGUGCUAUAAACUUAUUUAAGAGAAUAAUUUAGUUGGUACUGGUAUUUUGUGAGGCCAGGCCUUUUAUAAACAAAUGUUCAGAGGUUAUUUCAGUAGUUGAACUUUUUUCAUACCAUUCAGUGGUUUACGUUUUACAGAUCCAUUUCUUUAAAAUACAGAUUCAAUAUUUAUUCUAAAACAUGCAUGUAUGCUAUUACUUUUAGUGGGUGAUUUGUAUCCCAAAAUGGCUUUAAUGUAUUAUUUACUACAAUAAACUUUUGUUAGACAGUGAGAAGUAGCAAUAGAGAACACUUGUUUAAUAGUUAUAUGUAUUAGGUAUUAUUCCAAAUUGUUUUUCAUGUAUUAACUUAUUUAAUUUUCAGAACAAUUCCAAGAGGUAGGUAAUAAUAUUAUCCCCAUUUUAACAGAUAAAGAAACUGAGUCACAGAGGAAAUAACUUGCUCAAUGUCACACAGUUUAUAAAUGUUGACAUGGCGAUCUCAACCUAGAGACUGUGGUUCUGAAGUCUACUGUUAUACAUUAUGCCUCUCUAAAGAGACUGGGGCUGUCCCCAGGUGGAUCAUCAGAUGGACCUAAAUCCACAAAAAUGCAGUCUGUUAAAUAGGAUCCUCUGAUUUUGUUAAAAGGGGCGCUGAUAAUAUUGCCAGUAUCCAAAUAUUAUGUGAUAUGACAAGUAAUACUAUUAUAUCAUGUAUAUUUUGAUAUGACAUUAUUUCUACAUUAAAUUUUGAGCCACAAUCCUUAGAAAUCUAAUAUAAAGAAUGACUGAAUACACUAAAAUGCAUAGAAUGGAACCAUAUAAAGAGAGCUUGCAGAGGCAGGGAAUGUUUAGUCUAGUAUUUAAGAUCAUAGGGAGACAGGGAAAUUCAUUUGUCCACUAACUUUUCAGAAAUACAUGAAAUUUAAGGAAAAACUUUACUAUCUUGAUUAUGGAUUGAAUUAGUUGAAAUUACAUCACCUUACAAUUAAAGAAAUCGCAGGGUUGCAUGUGUGUAUGUGUGCAUGCAUGGAUGGUUGGGAAUGCUGAGACAAGAAGCCCCAAGACCAUGUUUAAGGGACAACACAUGAUCUAGUUUUAUUUGAGGAUUAUUUGGCAGGCUUUGUCUCACUGACUGCAGUUGGAUUAUAUAAAGUGAUUGUGGGAAGUUGGGAAGUUUUCUGAGAGGAGGGUAGGGUAAAUGCCAUGAGUGGAAUAUUAAGGAAAAAAUAUUUAAAGACAAUUUCAAAGACAUUUGUUGUCUGUGAAAAAAAUAAAAAA